CUUGCAAUAAUGUACAUGGGAAAAAAGAAUGGAUGGAUACAUGUUUAUGUGUGACUGAUUCACCUUGCUGUGCCCCUGAAACGAAUUCAACACUGCAAGUCAACUCUACUUCAACAAAAUUUUAAAAAAGAGAGAAAGAAAGACAAGCCAGGAUCCCAGAGAGAUGGGAGUAGGUGGAAGUGACAUUCGGCGCUCUUCUUCCCCUUAAGGAAUUCCUGACUCAUGAGCGGCUCGGGGCCAAGAGGCUAAAACCCGAGCAGAAAGCAGUGGAGAAGCAGCUGAGAACUUGAGUGAGAGGUUGCUGCAAUCUCAUAGGGUAAGAAGACAAAUCUAGAGUUCAAAGGAUCCGGGCAAGCAGGACCCCAGGGCCAAGAUGUCUGGGAAAAGAGAAGAGAAGCAGAGCGGGUCAGUUCAGAAUUCCCAGGCCCUCCUCCCCGAAGGCAUCUGCCGACUUAGAAGCCGCCUCCAGUGAGGCGGAAAGCCCAGCUAAGAGAGGGGGAAGCCGAGCAGAGUUUUUGGCAGAAGGAGGAGGCUGGGGGAACAACUGGAAAUCAAAGGCCCAUCCGAGAAGAGGAGCCCCAGGAAACAAGUCAGAUUCCCAGGGAAGUACCCCCAGAAAGGUGAGGCGCUCGGAGCCUGAGUGGGCCAGAGACGGAGCAGCCUGCCAAGUCUGACGGCCAGCUUCAAGCCGGCUCAACCCAAGGCUGGAUUAAGAUGGCCUUCCGACACUUGAGUGGAAGGCAUUCCAGAAAGCCAAAGUAAAUCCUCUCUGUGGACGUGCAACAUCCAUCAGAGCCACGACUGUAUCUCCGUAACAGAAGCAGAGCCGCCAGUGAUCCAGAGCGUGGAGUUAUCUGAUACAGACUUUGAAAUAACUGUGAUGACAGUGGUUGAAAAAAUCGGUGACAAGAUAGAGAAUAUCGCCACCGGAGAGCUGGAAUCUGUGCAAAGGACUCACAUGGAAAUUACCGUGGCAUGGAGAGAAUUCGGCAACUAAUAUCCUCCAAGGAUGGCUGAGUUCCCGCUGUGGUGCAAUGGGUUAAGAUGCCAACUGCAGCAGCUCAGGUCGCUGCCGAGGUGCCAGUUGGAUGCCCAAGCUGCAACUGGGGUGGCAGCUGUCGCUCGGAUUCAGUCCCUGGCCUGGGAUUGAAUCUCUGGCCUUUCCAUAUGCCGUGGGUGUGGCCAUGAAAAAGAAAAAAGAAUGGCUCCUGUUUUUCCAUUCGUCCAGGCGAAAGGGCACCCCAGGGGCAGCUAAUUGUUCCAGGAACCCCUCGGGAGGCAGCCUGCAGAAAGGAUGAGGGCGGGAGGCCUGUGUGCAGGGCUGGAGGGAGCACAUUCCUCACAGGAAAUUCAGGGAAGGCCCGUUGGAACCACUGGAAUUGAAAUGUUGGAUAAAGAAAUUUGCAUUCUGUUCAGCAAAGGGUGAUCCGUAGAUCUGUUUGUCUGUUCGUCUGGGUCUCUGGGUUUGGUUUGCCUCGGGGUCAAUUUAGAGAAAGUAAAAAGAAAAAAAAACAACAACAACAAAACCCAAUAGUUUGCAUAUUUAAAAAAUUCCUUUUUUCAAACAUUCAGAAAUUCAAUAUCUGCACCAGGACUUCAAGCGCUUUUCAUUGUUUCUCCAUCCACAACGUGUUUCAUCUUGGGGGCUGUUUUUUGUAACACUGCAUAACAAGGCUACAUUACCGUUUCGGACUGUAGCAUUGAACUUUUAAACAAAUUUUGGUAUUGAGCAAGACCCUUUUCCACCGGUUUAUUUUGUCCUUCCUUUGCUGACCUUGUAAACGACUCCAUUGCGAAAUGCGGUUUGUCUCAGAGCGCCUCUUAACAUCGUAUCCUUUAAAAUAGAGAUUUUUUUCCAUUGCAUGGGAGACCCACAGCCACGUCUUCAACACACCCGCACAGCAGAGCAGGACUUCUCACUUCCACUUACUUAGAGACAUAUGGUUUUCAUCAGCCACUUCACUCUUCUUGGCAGAAAACAUGGCAGCGCUUUAAAUUGUAUUUCGCAGACAGCCCACUCCUCGCACCAAGGCCCUCUUUGCUGUUCUCCCACCCCUGCUGUCCCACGUGGCCCUGUCUCCUUUGCCAUUCUCAAAGGGUGCCCCCCACCCCCGUCCCCUGCCAGGCAAAGCCCAUGGGUUGGUCGCCCGUCCCACCUGCCAGACCGGGUCAGUGGAGCACUGAAGCAGGAAAUCAGCCCGAAGGCCUCUGGGAGCUGGAGCCGACCAAGCUGAGUGUGAAUCGGCUGUCAGACGAGAGGCUUCUGGAAAUUCGAUUGGCCGGACAGCUGGGAGCUAUUCCUCACGGUUGCAGAGAACGGGCAGCUGAUGAAAACGAUUCAGGGUUGGGAGACCACGGCCAUUUGGGGUGUUCUGCCCCCACGCUGAUCCCAUGGGAAAGCCAAGCACCCCCCCCCCACUUUCCAUGGGUUCCCCACCUCUGUUUCCAUCCAUUCUACCCUUCCUGGCAUCACUGUGAGGGAGCUGCAAGGCUGUCACCUUCUAAGCUGGCAGCAAAGAUUGAUGAGCCCUCCGUCCCCCUGGACACCCUUCCACUGGAGGCUGGUUGAGCCCCACUGGCGUCUAAAGGGCCAGAGGGAAGUGCCUGAGUGCCUCGUGAGUGCGGCCCCUACAGCAGGUGCUGAGGGACCCAGGCUGUCCAGCAUCCUCAGCAUCACCUCUUUCAUUGCAACCACUGACCACUUCCGCCUCCAAAGAUCCCCAAAAUCCAUACAGGUUUCUCCAUCUCCUCGGCCUCACCCUGGUCUCAGGCACCCUCCUCUCUUACCUGGACCGCCAUUCAAGCCUCCCAGCACGUGCCCCUGAUUCCACUCUGGUCUCCCCUUAGUGUGUGAGGCAGAGUGAUCUAUUAAACACAUAGAUCAGAUCAGGCCAGGCCCCCUCGGAACGCUCCUCAGUGACUUUCCACUACACUUAGAGUAAAGCACCAACUCCUCCUCGUCAUGGCCUACGGGGCUCUCAUCCCAAGGGCCUCAUCCCGAGGGCCUCGCCCUCCCUCACCUUGCUGCAGCCACUGGCCUCCCUGCAGCCCCUCGGAACCCCAGCAUCCUGGACCACCAAGGUCAGGAGCCAGGAGGGCCUCUGCCCCCCCAGGCGAGCUUGGUUCCAGGCACCACCAUGUGCUCCUGCCCCAAGGGAACUGUCCUCUCCCAGGACCGGGCUCCAGCUCCCCUGGUCCACUGCCUCAUUGCUCAGAUGAAGACAGAGACCAGAUAGGUACAGGGUUUAGCCAAGAGUAGUCGAAAUGAGGUUAUGGCCAAACCAGCCAUAGCCCUGUGCCUUGACUCUUAAGGCAGAGCUCCUUUCUCCCCCCUGGGCUGCCCGGUCAGGGACUGCCAUGGGCAGCCCUAGGAGGAGAGAGGAGCCGGGUCCACGGUUUGUGCAAUAUCUGGGAGUCCAAAUUCCAUUCAGUGUUCUUCCUCCAGGGCCGAGGAGGCUCUGGGGCUCUGAUUUAGAUGGAUGAACAUUUCUGGAUGCUUCACAUGAGCUAGAGACCCCAGGGAGUGCUGGGGACUUGCCAGGGGGUGCUCACCAUUCUUUGAGAAGAUGGGGCUCCCAGGGCCCUGGAUUUGAAUCACACACUGUGGGACCCUCAGCCUCACAGAGACAGAGCGACCCCCAGCUGGCAGCAGGGCUCCUGGGACCUCACUGGAAGAGAGUGACAUGGCUUUCCUGUGCUCCUCGUGGCUGGUGCUCUAACUUGGGGACAGCAGGCAGUAGGAAAUAAGGGCUUGGGCUGAUUUUUGAGAAGGUUUUUGCACUGGGGAACGUAGGGUGCGGCGAGGGAGGUGCUGACAAGGGAGCGGUGAAGCCAGAGGGGGAAGGAGGUAUCCUACUCGCCGGGUGGGGCCAGUGGAAACAUCUCUGGGUUCCAGUUAAACUUGAGCAGCGGGAAAGGAAAAGCUGUGGGAGGACCCGCUGUGGUGCAGGGGAAACAAAUCCUACCAGAACCCACGAGGAUGCGGGUUUGAUCCCUGGCCUCGCUCAGUGGGUUAAGGAUCCAGCGUUUCUGUGAGCUG
ensembl:lncRNA